rnacentral:rRNA from 1 species
CGCCAGACUCCUACGGGAGGCAGCAGUGGGGGAUAUUGGACAAUGGGGGAAACCCUGAUCCAGCGACGCCGCGUGAGUGAAGAAGUAUUUCGGUAUGUAAAGCUCUGUCAGCAGGGAAGAAAGAAAUGACGGUACCUGACCAAGAAGCCCCGGCUAACUACGUGCCAGCAGCCGCGGUAAUACGUAGGGGGCAAGCGUUAUCCGGAUUUACUGGGUGUAAAGGGAGCGUAGACGGCUGUGCAAGCCAGAUGUGAAAGCCCGGGGCUCAAGCCCGGGACUGCAUUUGGAACUGUGUGGCUGGAGUGGCGGAGAGGCAGGCGGAAUUCCUAGUGUAGCGGUGAAAUGCGUAGAUAUUAGGAGGAACACCAGUGGCGAAGGCGGCCUGCUGGACGAUGACUGACGUUGAGGCUCGAAAGCGUGGGGAGCAAGCAGGAUUAGAUACCCUAGUA